rnacentral:rRNA from 1 species
UGGGGAAUAUUGCACAAUGGGCGCAAGCCUGAUGCAGCCAUGCCGCGUGUAUGAAGAAGGCCUUCGGGUUGUAAAGUACUUUCAGCGAGGAGGAAGGCAUUGUGGUUAAUAACCACAGUGAUUGACGUUACUCGCAGAAGAAGCACCGGCUAACUCCGUGCCAGCAGCCGCGGUAAUACGGAGGGUGCAAGCGUUAAUCGGAAUUACUGGGCGUAAAGCGCACGCAGGCGGUUGAUUAAGUCAGAUGUGAAAAUCCCCGACGCGCUUUAAACUUUGGGGAAACUGCAUUUGAAAACUGGUCAGCUAGAGUCUUGUAGAGGGGGU